rnacentral:rRNA from 1 species
CGGUGACAAACCGGAGGAAGGUGGGGAUGACGUCAAGUCAUCAUGGCCCUUACGGCCUGGGCUACACACGUGCUACAAUGGUCGGUACAAAGGGUUGCCAAGCCGCGAGGUGGAGCUAAUCCCAUAAAACCGAUCGUAGUCCGGAUCGCAGUCUGCAACUCGACUGCGUGAAGUCGGAAUCGCUAGUAAUCGUGAAUCAGAAUGUCACGGUGAAUACGUUCCCGGGCCUU